rnacentral:rRNA from 1 species
GACGAACGUUGGCGGCGUGCUUAAUACAUGCAAGUCAACUGAAGCACCGGUAGUAAUACUGGUGUGGAGGUGGCGCACGGGUGAGUAACACGUAGGUAAUCUGCCUUCAGGUCUGACAUAACCCCGGGAAACCGGGGCUAAUAUCAGAUGAUGCAGCGGCUUGACAUCAAGACAGUUGUUAAAGCUUCGGCGCCUGGAGAUGAGCCUGCGUCUGAUUAGCUAGUUGGCGGGGUAAUGGCCCACCAAGGCUUCGAUCAGUAGCUGGUCUGAGAGGAUGAUCAGCCACACUGGAACUGAGACACGGUCCAGACUCCUACGGGAGGCAG